ensembl:lncRNA
CUCCAAACCAGCGUCACAUUGUAGUAUUAGACUGGAAGAACAAGACCCAGCUUCGUUUACUGUAUUUGCGCGCUGCCUCUAUUUUAUAUGAAUAUUAAUAUGGAAAAAUUAUGGUUUUCUUCACUUAAAACUAACUUCACCGCGGUACAUGUGGUUGAGGUGCACGCAAAAAAAGCAUAGCUCACGGCAACAAACAAGUCCUCGCAACGGAGUAAACACCUGUUAAGGAAUGAAAAAACAUGAAUACCACAAUAACGACGGCUCAGUUUAAUCCAUUCAACCGCCAAGAAAGUCACAGACUAACAGAAAGGGAGGGGGCGGGGCUACACCUACCGGUAUUCGAGGACUUGGUUCCCUCUGGACGUGACUCCGCUCCUCUUUCUCUCAGAUAGAUCGAUGGACUUUAUUGAUCCCAAACUGGUUGAUUCCGGCGUUGCAGCAGCAGGUUUACUAAGCUUGCACAACAUUUCUGUUUGGGGGGGGUCGCUGCCCCCGCUGCUGAAACAAAUCCUAGAGGAAACACUGUAUGUGAUAAUUCUCGGAGCAUCUUCGCCUCUGCGCCUUCAGUGUGAAGACCUGUGGAAUAUCAUAUACCCCCAAAAAUUGGCUGUGGCCAAGAGAGUGUCCAGAGAAAUGUCAGAAUGCCGACAGGUUGUUAUCAUCAGUGCCCUUAUCUUCCCCUUGCAGGAGCACCGGCACAACGAAAACAGCCUGCACAUCCCACCAGUCAAGGCUUCACGGCCUGCUGCAGCAGCCAUCAAACUCUAUCAGAUGAAGGACACGAGCAGAAAGGAUUUUUGUUCAUUUCUAACCUACCUAACAUUUACACAGCCCUGUAAAGUUUAAUUCUAUUAACUUCAGUGGUAUUUUGGGUCUAUGGGUUUUAAUGUGGUGCAGGGCAUGUGCACAAAAUAAAACUAUGUAUAUAAUGAAAUAAACAUGGAAAAACACACAUACUAUUAUCGUGAAUUAUAUAAAAAUAAUAAAUCCGCAUUAUAUACAAAUGUCAAGGAAUUGCCAAGGGUCUUUUCAAUUAUGCAUGCAAUGAAAAAAGCAUCUAUCCAUCCAUUGCUGGGUUCGUUCCUUAUUUUAAAAAACAGGCCUCUAGGUUUGUGAAUUUAGUAUGAUGUCUGGGACAGCAAUUAGGCCGUUUUCUACACAACAACCAUCAUAUUUUUUAUCAACAACAGGAUAGCAAAAUAUUCUGAAGAGAGUAUGGCUAAAAAAAAAAACAUCCAUAGUUUGACAAUAAAAUAGAGAAGGCGUUGGGAGAUGGCAGUGAUGUAAAUGCACAUGAAACUCUGCAAAAAAAGCCCUAAGCUUAUCUAUCCAUCUGCAAAGUUUAUGACAGAAUCCAGAAUAUAGAGGAAAAUACGAUACAAUCACCAUUAAAUUCGGGAAACAAGGGUCUUUGUUAGUUUCAGAUCGACUGCAGUUGUCAUAUUACUGUCCAGCACCCCAUGUGGUUUGAACACAAAUGCACUUGUGCCCACCUGUGCAACCAUUGGUGUGCAUCCCCCGGUUCUGUGGGCAAUGCCCCCGCCCCCCUCCCGAAGGCAUGAUAAACAUGGAGCAAUAUAACCACAUAGCAUAUGCAUUUAACGGGGAGAAGCUCGGCUAUACGCCCACGCCAACCAUUUUCACUUGAACGAAACACAAUUCCAACACCAAUUAUCUAAAUCAGCACGUCACAAAACACAAAAGCUGGGGAUGAUAAUCAUGCUAACAACACAAGCUGUACCGCAUAUGAAAGCCAUAACUCCACAUUCCAAGGGUAUAUAUCUCAUCUUUCUACGACCAAACCUUACUUCAGCAGCCGAACAAGAGCAAAAAAAGUUUCACAACAAACAGUGACAUACAAAAAGGAUGUCUCACCUUUGCUGUUUUGUCACGAUGUAGUCCAUUACUCUGCUAAAAAGGUUAAUCCAAUGUCCCUGUGUCAUUUCAAAAUGAUUCCUGACAGUUUCCAUUCAUAUUUAGUUCCAGUGGAACGUAUCUAAUAUGAAAUAGGUACGGCCCCUUUCUUUGCACGCAGUGUAUUUGCUGCCUUGUAGUUUGCGUAUGGUGAUGUUGACAUGGAUUUGAAGGCUGUCCGUUGACUCCAUUGGUUCUGCCGGUACAAUGGAGGUCUCAAUCAUCCAAAUUGGCUGCAGAGAUAUUGCCCUGUGUUUCAUAUGGUGGCACUACAUAGAGAAGCUUAUCAGAGAGCUUUUACAUUUAUCAUUGAGAUAGAGUAAGUACCUAUAGUGGCAUAUAAGUGAAGUUAUAUAGAUAACAUGAUUAUUCAUACAGACCAUGAAGUUGCAGAGAUAUACUCUAUUUAAAGGGGCAGUAGGCGAUUCUAAAGCAAAACACGGUUUGUAAAAAUCAGUGAAUAUUUCCUCACAGUCCACUAGCUGUCGGUUCUGUGUGCGCACUGAAAAUCUGUCUGGGUUUGUAAACAUCACUCGUCGACGCCUCAAGAGACCCACUAGCGAGUGUCACUGCAACGACACGGUUUUGGCCUAGUGGUUUGCACUUUUGUCUCCCAUACCCAUAAUUUUCGAGCAGGGGCAUGUGAAAAAGGGCCUUGGAGGUUUGGUCAGGUGCACUGUUUUGGAAAGCGACCAACAAAAGCGUUGUCUGGAAGCAGUGGAGCAGUUUUUCAAUGAUAUUUUCAGGAUGCAUUAUCGAGAUGGUAAGACGCACCAAUAGGCGCCUGUACGACGCAGACACACUCUGCUUGUCACGCACACAAAUGGUCUGCUCAUGCACAAAGUGAAACAGUUUUAUCUACAGAAAAGAGUUCUGUCUCAUUACCCUUAAGGUCUGAGUUCAACCCUUUUUUCCCGGACUUUUUUUCCUGCUGUUCAAGUAGCGAGAGUCGACAUGGGACACGCCCUGCAUGCACUUGCACAAUGUACUUCAGAUUGUUCCAAUAGAACCCUUCAUGUGUAGGGGCCUGUACUAAUGGCACCUAAUCAUUACACUUGAAAUCAUUUGAUUUUUAAUUCGACUUGCCAUGUAGAAAAUGCAAUAUAGGAUGUUUUUCUACGUUAUGUUAACCUUGUAGUAACUACAAUGAUGGUCUUUCACAAGAGAAACCUGGGAACAUGGAGACUUACACAAGGUCACAGUGUAAUUACUCUGAACUACACAAUGCAAAUCUGCAAACAGCUUGAAGAAGGAAAGGAAAUUUGAUUUAAUUCAAACAAUUUAGGUAAAUUGUGCCUUGUGUGUCUAUCUGUGGAUAGAGAUGGAUCCAGUGUUUUGUUUUUCUUCUCCCCUUUGUGCCCACACAUCAUCUCCUUAAGUGAAAUCUCCAAAACUCAAUAAGUUUGUGGGUUUGUUUUAUUAGUACUACUUUUAAUGAAAAGACGUCCUCAGUCCAGGAAGACACUCGUUUUUUUCCCCCCAUUUUCUCUUUUCCAAUGCCUGCGCUCUCGUCACUUAAUUGUUGUUGCCUAGAGCUCUUACAUCCACUCUCGCACAUCUGUGUUUACAGCUGCAGUAAAAAAAACACACACACAGACACACACUUACACACGCACACACACAGCAAUUGUACAUACACAUGCAGACACACUUCUUUUUUAAAUUAGUGCCAUGCUUGUUCAUGCAGUAUUGGUCUGUGAAAACAACUUUGAGCCUGUUUGUUUAAAGCGCUCUAUAAAUAAAUGUGACUUGAUGACGAUGAAUGAUGUGAUCAAUGUGGAAAAUCACAGGUACUUGAAGGCUCACUGGAAAACCAUGAAUCUCCUCUGAGUAGCUUAGGUUGACUCAACUUCAAAACAUCUGCUUGUUUAUUUAUUUUUUGGGGCUUUCACAGCAUCAGACAUUAUGAUUGGCAUCACAGGCCAAUAUAAACAUCAGUAGCAAAGUCUAAUAUGACCUGAUUAACUUAUGAAUGCACAUAAGACUCGCUGAGACGACUACUUUGUCUAGUUUUUCCAAAGCGUUUUCUCCAAGUCAAAUGUAACUGCAGGGUGUCUGCCAGCGAUUGGGCUCUCUUUAAAAAUGUGUCGACUGACUAACGGCUGCAUAUUGCGUCCAAAAUGUGACCUAAUUUCAAGAAGAUUCAACACAAACGAUACGUUUCAACACUCAUAUUUUCCAAGAGCACCAUGACUAUUACAGGUCAUUAGUUAGGGUAUUUAAUUAAUUACUGUAGAAUUGUUGACCUGUUGUCAUUGUGUGAUGUUUGUAUAGAGAGCAAACACACAAAGAUAGCAAUCUCUGCCAAUUUACCAUAGCUAACUAACUUCAGUUCAGUGAUAUAAGGCAUGGGGGUGAUGUAAGGUGUAGGUACUAGAAAAAUGCAGAAUCAGAUAUUAGGUAUGUGUUUCAAUGUGUUUCACUUGAGGCCGUUUGUUGGUCUGGCUUUUCUAUUACUUUGUAAAACCUUCAUCAGACAAUACAAGGUCUAACACCAAAAUCGCAAUUAAAUGUAUUAUUUCAAGUACGACAGUGUGUAGGAUUUUGUUUGUGACUUUGGAUCCAUUACACCUGUUCCGUUACAUAGAUGUGUGUUCUUCAUCUCUCCCUCAAAAUGUAACAAACUGUCAGUUGAAAAAAAUUAUGUUAUACAGAAUUUCUGGUUGACAGGUUUGCAGUUUGCCACAACAAAGGCAGUAAUGUUACACCAAAAAUUGUCGUCAUUUUUAUUUAAACAAUACCUAAAUGAUGAAUUAUAUAUUUACAUUGUUUUACAAUGAAGCCAAAAGACGCUGAAAAAUAUAUUUUAUCUUUGAGAUAUAUUACUUAGAAAGGAAUCAGGAUACGAUCUGAAACCAGAUCCAGUCUUCAUUUAGAGUCAAGUUAAUAUUAAGUAAACUAAAUGCAGAAGAGAAGCAAAUGAGGUUGACUGAAUCAAUAUACUGUAUAGCU